ACGCUGACAGAAUGCUUAACACAUGCAAGUCUACUUGAACUUCGGUUUGGGUGGCGGACGGGUGAGUAACGCGUAAAGAACUUGCCUCACAGUUAGGGACAACAUUUGGAAACGAAUGCUAAUACCUGAUAUUAUGAUUUUAGGGCAUCCUAAGAUUAUGAAAGCUAUAUGCGCUGUGAGAGAGCUUUGCGUCCCAUUAGCUAGUUGGAGAGGUAACAGCUCACCAAGGCGAUGAUGGGUAGCCGGCCUGAGAGGGUGAACGGCCACAAGGGGACUGAGACACGGCCCUUACUCCUACGGGAGGCAGCAGUGGGGAAUAUUGGACAAUGGACCAAAAGUCUGAUCCAGCAAUUCUGUGUGCACGAUGACGUUUUUCGGAAUGUAAAGUGCUUUCAGUUGGGAAGAAAAAAAUGACGGUACCAACAGAAGAAGUGACGGCUAAAUACGUGCCAGCAGCCGCGGUAAUACGUAUGUCACAAGCGUUAUCCGGAUUUAUUGGGCGUAAAGCGCGUCUAGGUGGUUAUGUAAGUCUGAUGUGAAAAUGCAGGGCUCAACUCUGUAUUGCGUUGGAAACUGCAUGACUAGAGUACUGGAGAGGUAAGCGGAACUACAAGUGUAGAGGUGAAAUUCGUAGAUAUUUGUAGGAAUGCCGAUGGGGAAGCCAGCUUACUGGACAGAUACUGACGCUAAAGCGCGAAAGCGUGGGUAGCAAACAGGAUUAGAUACCCUGGUAGUCCACGCCGUAAACGAUGAUUACUAGGUGUUGGGGGUCGAACCUCAGCGCCCAAGCUAACGCGAUAAGUAAUCCGCCUGGGGAGUACGUACGCAAGUAUGAAACUCAAAGGAAUUGACGGGGACCCGCACAAGCGGUGGAGCAUGUGGUUUAAUUCGACGCAACGCGAGGAAC
rnacentral:rRNA from 1 species